rnacentral:rRNA from 1 species
ACGAACGCUGGCGGCGUGCUUAACACAUGCCAGUCGGACGGAAAGGCCCUGCUUUUGUGGCGUGCUCGAGUGGCGAACGGGUGAGUAACACGUGAGUAACCUGCCCUUGACUUUGGGAUAACUUCAGGAAACUGGGGCUAAUACUGGAUAGGAGCUCCUGCUGCAUGGUGGGGGUUGGAAAGUUUCGGCGGUUGGGGAUGGACUCGCGGCUUAUCAGCUUGUUGGUGGGGUAGUGGCUUACCAAUGCUUUGACGGGUAGCCGGACUGAGACGGUGACCGGCCACAGUGGGACAGAGAUACGGCCCAGACUCAUAAGGGGGGCAGGAGUGGAAGAUAGAGCACGAUGGGCGGAAGCCGGAUGCAGCAACGCCGGGUGUGGGAUGACGGCCUUCGGGUAGUAAACCGCUUUCGCCUGUGACGAAGCGUGAGUGACGGUAAUGGGUAAAGAAGCACCGGCAAACUACGU